rnacentral:tRNA from 1 species
GGAGGGGUGACCGAGCGGCCGAAGGUGCGGCACUGGAAAUGCCGUGCACGGGGUCAAACCCUGUGCCGUGGGUUCAAAUCCCACCCCCUCCGCCA